rnacentral:rRNA from 1 species
UACAGAGGUCCCAAGCGUUGUUCGGAUUCACUGGGCGUAAAGGGUGCGUAGGUGGUCCGUUAAGUUCGUUGUGAAAGCCCUGGGCUCAACCCAGGAACUGCUUCGAAUACUGGCGGACUUGAGGCUAGUAUGGGUCACUGGAACUGACGGUGGAGCGGUGAAAUGCGUAGAUAUCGUCAGGAACGCCAAUGGUGAAGACAGGUGACUGGGCUAGAUCUGACACUGAGGCACGAAAGCGUGGGGAGCGAACGGG